rnacentral:tmRNA from 1 species
GGGGAUGUUACGGAUUCGACAUAGAUUUAUCCACGUGAGUGGCAUUCCGCAGGUAACGGCUGCGUCAUCAACGUCAAACAGUUAAAUAUAACUGCAAACAAUAAUGAAAAUAACUACGCUGUAGCUGCUUAAUAACCAGCUUAGCGUGAUCUGCUCAAUCUCUCCCAUGGAUUGAUGUCAGGUCUUAAAUGAGUGGGAUAGAUUAAUGAACUCACACCUGAAGUUCAUUAAUUGAAAUUAAUCGGGUUAGUCAUUAAGAUUGGCCGCGUUGCUUGGCGUACUUAAUGAUGAAAUGCCAAAUAAAGUGACUACGAGUGUAGAAGCUUGCGAUGGAAAAUGUAUGGACACGGGUUCGACUCCCGUCAUCUCCAU